rnacentral:rRNA from 1 species
UACGGGGGGGGCAAGCGUUGUUCGGAAUUACUGGGCGUAAAGGGCUCGUAGGCGGCCAACUAAGUCAGACGUGAAAUCCCUCGGCUUAACCGGGGAACUGCAUCUGAUACUGGAUGGCUUGAGAUUGGGAGAGGGAUGCGGAAUUCCAGGUGUAGCGGUGAAAUGCACAGAUAUCGGGAAGAACACCCGUGGCGAAGGCGGCUCUCUGGGACGGUACUGACGCUGAGACGCGAAAGCGUGGGGAGCGAACAGG